CAUCUACAAAAUCUUGUGUUAGUUUGGUUGUCUGUGUAGUCUGAGAUGCAGAAGGCGAACUUGAUCUUGACUCCUCAUCAAAUAAGUCCUUCAACAUUGUUGGUGGUUUUUCAGUUAUCAAUUCUGCUACAGGGAAAGUUACAGACUCAGCCCGAUGAGAUGAUUGUCUUCUCCUUCUCCCAAGGACUUGACUGCUUCCUUCUACAGUAUAAAGAUCUCUUCCAGAUUUCCUUCUGCUGCAAAAAGUUGAUCUCAUAAAUCCUGGUAAUUGUGACAAGGGAGCUGUGACAUCUCCAAGUCGUCCCUUCUUGACUUUGAGGUUACACAGUGGCUCCUCAGAAGAUAAAUGGGGAACUUGUGGUUUCACUUGGAAAGUGGAGGCUGGCCUUAAGAUUAAUUUGAAAUAAGAUGAAUGAACUUCCAGCUUCAAUUAAUGUGACUAUCAGAUGACAGUUAAAGUAACUAACCAGGGGUCUAUAAUGAAGAAACAAAUGAAAUCACAUAGAAGUUCCACUUCAAUCACCUUGUGAUGAAUCAGGAUGGAACACUUUGUCAAAGCUGUAACUUUUACUCUUAUUAUCCUGAAGCCUCAGGAGAACAUGGUUAGAAUCUAAAGCUACAACAGGUCUUAAGCAUCUGAAAUUCUCACCCACUGUGAUCGGCCUCACACGACAAAAUACACGGAUAUUCCCUGCAAUGGCAACAAGAUCAGUUUUGUUCCUCAAACACUCUCAGUCAACCUAAGUUGGUUGAGUUCCAAGGCGAUGGCAACAAGAUCUUGACUUUUAUUGGAAUAAAAAAGUUAAAGCAGCAAGUUGACCUGUUGAUAAGCAAAGGAGGAACAAUGGUGAAAAUGAAUAGAAUGAGUAAGCUGUCAUGAUUCAUGGAAAAGUGACAAAGAUAUACACAAGUGUAUGUUGAUACAUGCAGAAAAAACAUGCCCGAUUAUUAUCUACCUGUU